GUUGGUAUUGAUUGCUGUGAGGGUCCACCUGUUCCCAUCCCGAACACAGAAGUUAAGCUCACAAGCGCCGACAAUACUUGGCGGGUGACUGCCCGGAAAGAUAGGUAAUGCCAACA
rfam:Firmicutes bacterium CAG:110_56_8 Ley3_66761_scaffold_16440, whole genome shotgun sequence.